rnacentral:rRNA from 1 species
AGUGAACGCUGGCGGUAGGCCUAACACAUGCAAGUCGAACGGCAGCACAGUAAGAGCUUGCUCUUACGGGUGGCGAGUGGCGGACGGGUGAGGAAUACAUCGGAAUCUACUUUUUCGUGGGGGAUAACGUAGGGAAACUUACGCUAAUACCGCAUACGACCUACGGGUGAAAGCAGGGGAUCUUCGGACCUUGCGCGAUUGAAUGAGCCGAUGUCGGAUUAGCUAGUUGGCGGGGUAAAGGCCCACCAAGGCGACGAUCCGUAGCUGGUCUGAGAGGAUGAACAGCCACACUGGAACUGAGACACGGUCCAGACUCCUACGGGAGGCAGCGGUGGGGAAUAUUGGACAAUGGGCGCAAGCCUGAUCCAGCCAUACCGCGUGGGUGAAGAAGGCCUUCGGGUUGUAAAGCCCUUUUGUUGGGAAAGAAAAGCAGCAGGUUAAUACCCCGCUGUUCUGACGGUACCCAAAGAAUAAGCACCGGCUAACUUCGUG